rnacentral:lncRNA from 1 species
UUGAACCUCUCUCACAUUUUUCCCAUGAACCAUUCCCUAGAGUCUAUACUUAUCUCACCCAAAUUUCAUUCCAAUAUUAGCAACCGAAUAAAUGUUAUUCAAUUGACAUUAUUUUAAUUGAUUUCAAAUUAUAUAGAUUGAUUCAUUCCCUUAAAUUGACCCUUCCACACAAUAAUUGCUCAUGAAAGGAAUUUAACCACUUUGAAUUGCCACUUGACUAAAAGGGGAAGUCUUGGUAUGUCAUGUUAAUCCGUAAUUAACCGUCAAGCCCCUAAGCCUUGCUAUGUAUUCUUCACCUACAACUCAAUGCCACACAAUUGCCAUAACCUUUUGGUUUGCUACAAUGUUAUCAUUACCUUAGUUAUUAGGAGUUUACUCUUGUUCUACAAAAUAAUAAUCCCUUCUUUCCAUCAUACUCACGCCAUACUCUCCGUCUUUCAGAAGCCUCCAAACAUGAUUUUCUACUAUUUCUCGGUUUACACUUUGAAUAACACAAAUUAGUCUCCUCCAUUAUCUCAAGUGAUCAUCACAAACUUGCCUUUAGCAUCAUCCUUUCCUCCAAUUCGAUUUGUCUUCUCAACACAUAGUUCUUCGUUUUCAACCGUUGAACCGUCGAACCGAACUCUGGAACGAGAGAUAUCUUGUGUGCACUGUAGCUGCGAAUUUAGGCUAGGAUUGUGCUUGGAAGGAAAGAGACUAAGGUAAGACCUCUUUCCCCAUACAUUCAUGCUACAUAGGGAUUUAUUGUGAGAUAAUGGUAGAACCUUUAUCACUUAAAAUAAACCAAAAGAAUCAACUUAUAAAUAUAAAAAAAAAGAAACCAAAAGAACGUGCCUAAUGUAUUAAUAUGAAUGCUGUUUUGGUUCACUAUUUAUAUAUAUGUACAACCUAUUGCUAACCGUAUUUCAAUUUAUCAGUAUGUUUAUAUUGUUAUUUGUUUGCUAUCAAGUGCUAAUUGUGUUGUUGUAUAUGUUUGGAUUUAAGUUGUGUUCAUUUCUUCAUUGUAUGAGUUGCAUAUAAUUUCACAUUUUGAUAUACAAAUAACAUAUGCUGACUUUCAGAUGAUGAUUAUGUUAGAGGACUUGUUUUUAUUACUUAUUGGUAUAAAGAAGGGAAAUGUAGAUAAAAGUAUAGGGAGGACUAAGUAUGUCAUAGGUCGGGUUGGUCAUAUUAAGGAAGUGGAGUUUCAUGCAUCAUAUAGAUGUGUAGAGAAGAGUCUGUUUAGAGCCUGUGUGGCAAGUUUUAGGGCCUGUGUGGCAGAACUUACUUUUAGCCUGUGUGGCAGAACUUAUAUUUUUUUAGCCUGUGUGGCAGAACUUAUUUUUAGCCUGUGUGGCAGAACUUACUAUUUAGCCUGUGUGGCAGAUUUUCUUAUCCGGAUCAUUGUCUCAUAUAGGAUUGUCUUAGUUGCAUUGCAUUGCAUAUAGAAAGGGAGAAAAAAAAUACAAUAGUAUAUAAUUAUUACAGUCAUAAUAAAAACAAAGAAAAAAUAUAGUUAGUCCAUGGUAUAGUGGAGAUCGUUGCCUUCUCCUCUUUCAUUUGAUCUUGACGUGCAAUUUGUAAUAUGUGUAAUUAUGUUGCUUUGUUUAUUACUGCCGUUUAACAAUUAUAUGAUGCCUAUGUUUGUAUAUGUGUACUCUUAUCACCCAAAAGUUUUCAUAAUAAACUAAUAAUUAUAUUUUCGAUAAGGUGAAGUGUUUUUUUAUUAUUUUAUAACAUUUUCUUGUGGUGAGUAUGAUUCAAUGUGGACCAGGAAAUUGACCCAUACAACCAACAUUUUAGGUACUCAAUGAGAUAGCUUUGAUUGAUUGUGAUGUGAUGCUUGAAGCGCGUACGAACGGGGAAAAAUUGGGUUUUGUAAUUUGAGAAUUUUAUGUAAUAAAUAGUUCUUUGUUGUAUUUUCUUCCGCU